rnacentral:rRNA from 1 species
GAUGAACGCUGGCGGCGUGCCUAAUACAUGCAAGUCAAGCGAACGGACGAGAAGCUUGCUUUUCUGAUGUUAGCCGCGGACGGGUGAGUAACACGUGGAUAACCUACCUAUAAGACUGGGAUAACUUCGGGAAACCGGAGCUAAUACCGGAUAAUAUUUUGAACCGCAUGGUUCAAAAGUGAAAGACGGUCUUGCUGUCACUUAUAGAUGGAUCCGCGCUGCAUUAGCUAGUUGGUACGUAAACGGCGUACCAAGGCAACUAUGCGUGGCCGACGUGAGAGGGGGGUCGCCCACACGGGAGGGGAGCCGCGGUCCAGAGUCCUAAGGGAGGCAGCAGUAGGGAAUGGUCCGCAGUGGGCGAGAGCCUGACGGAGCAGCGCGGCGUGAGUGAUGAAGGUGUUCGGAGCGGGAAGCUGUGUUAUUGGUGAAGAACAUAUUUGUAAGUUACUGAGCAGUGCUUGACGGUACCUGGUCAAGAAGCCACGGCUAACUACGUG